rnacentral:misc_RNA from 1 species
GAUGAAGAACGUAGCGAAAUGCGAUAAGUAAUGUGAAUUGCAGAAUUCAGUGAAUCAUCGAAUCUUUGAACGCACCUUGCGCCCUUUGGCCAUUCCGAAGGGCAUGCCUGUUUGUGUAUCAUGAACACCUCAACUCUUUAUGGUUUUCCAUGAUGAGCUUGGACUCUGGGGGUUUUGCUGGCUCACAGUCGGCUCCUCUAAAAUGAAUCAGCUUACCAGUGUUUGGUGGGUAUCAUGGGUGUGAUAACUAUCUACGCUUGUGGUUUUUCCACCAGGUAACCUUCAGCAGUGGAGGUUCGCUGGAGCUCAUAGAUGUCUCUCCUCAGUGAGGACAGCCCUUUGAAUGUUUGAUCUCAAAUCAGGUAGGACUACCCGCUGAACUUAAGCAUAUCAAUAAGCGGAGGA